rnacentral:rRNA from 1 species
UACGGGGGGAGCAAGCGUUGUUCGGAAUCACUGGGCGUAAAGGGCGUGUAGGCGGGAAGGAAAGUCAGAUGUGAAAUCCCUGGGCUCAACCCAGGAACUGCAUUUGAAACUCCCUUUCUUGAGUGUCGGAGAGGAAAGUGGAAUUCCUGGUGUAGAGGUGAAAUUCGUAGAUAUUCGGAGGAACACCAGUGGCGAAGGCGACUGCCUGGACGAACAUUGACGCUGAGGUGCGAAAGCGUGGGGAGCAAACAGG